GGGGGUGUAGCUCAGUUGGUAGAGUGCUUGCCCAUCGAGCACAAGGCGCUGGGUUCAAUCCCCAGCACUGCCC